AAGUCGUAACAAGGUAACCGUAGGUGAACCUGCGGUUGGAUCAUUAAAAAUUUUACAACCGACUCGCGCUCCAAGUGGCUUCUGUCGCCUGGAGUGUGAGAUAUCGGCCCACACCCUUGUGAACCAUUGAAACGUCCUUACUGAUGAGGUUUGCGGUCAGCGCUUCAGCGUGACUUUCUCGAUCAUCCAAUCUUAAAACGUUGGGGGAUCAAGGAAGGGAAGACCCCCGUCGAUGCUAGGAGACGGGCGCUGUUGACAGGAGGUCAGUCUGGUUGACUUCAGACUCCUUCUGGCCGUGACCCCAUCGGCCUAGCGAACUCUACCACACCAAACAUACUUUUAUUUGCCUUAAAAAAAUCUCUUAAGUGAGAAACAAUGAGAAACAACUUUAGACAACGGAUCUCUUGGCUCUC
rnacentral:misc_RNA from 1 species